ACUAAGUUGGUGUUUUGUGUCAAGAUUUGGAAAGUUUUGAAAGUCUUGGUUUUUUAGACUUAAGGGUAGCAAUGCACUCUUUAAAUGCCCAAAUGAUAAUUAGUGUCAACAUAUAGGUGCAAGAAAUGUUAUACUUUAGUUGUUUUUCAAGCUAGCUAUGUUUGGUGCUGAGACGAGACUGGACAAAAUUGGUGUUUUCAAAUAUUGUUUUAGAAUAAAUUCAAGCAGACCAA
rnacentral:lncRNA from 1 species